rnacentral:lncRNA from 1 species
GGGGGAGCCAGCACCGGGAGGGGAGGGGACGCUCCCCGCCGGCACCCCCGCUCCGGGGGAGCAUCUCCCCUCGGGGGAGCAUCCCCCCGCCGUGCCUGUGGCAGCGGGAGGGGAGUCUCCUCCUUCCUCCCUCCCACCCUCUGCUCUCUCCUCCCUCCCCGCCUGCCUGCAGCCGCAGCGCAGGGGCAGGAGGGAGCGGCGGCGGCGCAGGCAGAGCCGCCCGGCGGAGGCAGGAGGGCGGCCGGGCGGUGGCUGCGCCCCGGCCCCCCCCGGCCCCGGCCCCGGCCCCGGCCCCACCGCCCCCGGCCGUGCCGCCGGCAGGCUCCGCCCGUCGCUCCCAUGGCGCGGCGGCCCCGCGCCAGGUGAGGCUGCGCUGCCUGUUGCGCCGGGCCGUGCCGAGCCGUGCCGAGCCGUGCCGAGCCGCCGGGGGCGGCACACCGCGAAGUUUUGCGGGGAGGCGCCGCUCCGCGAUAAAAAUAUUGUUACUGUAAUCCUGUUGGGGAAGAGGAGCUGUCCUUUCCAAGACAGUCUGUAUAGGUGUGCUUUUAAGAAGAGUAUUGAUGAUGAGGAAGUCCACACGUUAGUCAUUUUUUGCUAAUCCCACCGAAGAAAAUGAAGCCACACUUCAGCUUUGCCGAUCCUUUUCCUGCCACUGUUGGCUGAAUGAGAAAUGGUUGUGU